UACUUAUCUAUGAAUUUGUUCCCAAUAAAAGCCUUGAUUACUUCCCAUUUGAUCCAACCAAGCGCAGACAAUUGGAUUGGAUAAAUAGAUUCAAAAUCAUUGAAUGAGUUACACGAGCCUUGCUUUAUCUUCAUGAGGAUUGUAAGACACGUAUUAUACACCGAGACCUAAAACCAAGCAAUAUUCUCUUAGACGAAGAGAUGAAUGCUAAGCUAUCAUAUUUUGGAUUGACACGAUUAUUUAUUGUGGACCAAAAUCAAGGAAAGACCAGUAAAAUUGUUGGUACAUAGUAUGUAUUAGAAUACACUAAAGCUUAUGUUUUGAAUACAUGAUAAAUUUAGUAUAGUUGAACAAUACAGUGAGUUUAUGUUUUGAAUUAUAGUUGAUGUACCAAUACACUUUGUUAAUGUAUGGUUGUUACUUAUUAUUAUAGUUGAUGUAUCAA